CUGAUAUCACUAUCGUUCUAUCCAAUAUCGGUCUGUUCUUAAGCAAAUUCUCAUCAUCUACAGGUAUAUCACUCUCUGGAUCAUUAUCAGGAAACCCCACAAACCCACCCAGAGGAAAAGCUCUUAAUGAGUAUUCAACGUUUUUUGCACUAAAUUUAGCUAAAACUGGACCAAACCCAACAGCAAAUUUACUUACAUGGAUACCCUGUAGAUAAGCAGCAAGAAAGUGACCACUUUCAUGAACAACAAUAAUGGCUGUCAACACUCCAGCUGCCUCUAAAACAGACUCAAAGUUCCCCAAGUCAAAUCCAGAAACAGCGCAUGACCUUAAGUCCAACCUUUUCCCAUGUGGGCAUCUACUGAAAAGGUGAGUCUUGGGGUGAAAACUAAGGUUUGAUGAAUAGCAAGGUGAAGAGGGAAGAGGUUUAAGAA
rnacentral:lncRNA from 1 species